rnacentral:tRNA from 3 species
CGGGCUGUAGCGCAGCUUGGUAGCGCGCUUCGUUCGGGACGAAGAGGCCGCGGGUUCAAAUCCCGCCAGCCCGACGA